rnacentral:sRNA from 1 species
UAUAUAUAAUCAGUGGUGCAGUAUCUCUAGUCAGACUUCGUCUCAAGGAGGGCGGGGAUAAAUUUCCGUCGAAGGGCAUAUCGAUGAAGUUUCUUGUGUUGGCUUGUUUUGCCCAAAUUCGGGCUGAUGCUGGAAGUUAAGGUUUGUGGGCGGUUUGCAAUGGCAUGCAUUUCCCGACCCACCUACCGUGGAGACCCGUAUCGGUGGGUGUGAAACCAUCUACUGAACGGGAUUAAACCUGUAUUGCGGUGUUCGUAGCUGUGUGCAGAGUAGCCUGCCUUGAGUGGCGGUGGCGGAUUAGGAACACAAACAUCAUGGUCGGCGGACCUUGUUGGGCGAUUGCCUAUGAAACCAUCUUUGCAAAAGAGGCUAAUUGUUUCGAAGUAGGUCAAGGAAAACUUCUAGGCUGAUGCGAAAUGGGGAUUGUGGUGUACAAAUUUACGGUGAUUCGGUUGCGGAUAGGGUAACCUACCGCUAUGCUUGUCAAAGGGAAACCGCUUAUUCGGCGACGGUAAGUCAGGCAUAUGGAAAACAUACCGAACUUUAUGGUGCAAUGUUAAUCUAUUUCGCUACCACUGAUUCC